CUAACCCUAACCCUAACCCUAACCCUAGCCCUAACCCUCACCCUCCCCUCCCUCUCCAGCAUCCAGAGCUGCUAGCGUUGCAGCCGCGCUUUGGUUUCUUUCUACACGUUCUGCAGCCGUCCUGUGUACACUCUCCUGUUAGGCCAGUCACGGGGAGCGGACUUGAAAUGCAGCCUGGACACAUCCUAGCUCUGUAAUCCUGGGCAAGUCGCCUAAUCUAUAAGGAAACUGAGGUAGACAGUGGUUAAAUGUCUUUCCCGGGAUUACACAGCUGCUGAAGCAGCACAGAGUGCCUGGCUGGAGUCAAGAAGACCUGAGUUCAAAUCUGUCUGAGAGUCGUGGUGAAGAUGCAGAGUGUUUGGCAUACAGCAGGAGCUUACUAAAUGCAAUUGGGGUUAAGUGACUUGCCCAGG